rnacentral:rRNA from 1 species
AUUGAACGCUGGCGGCAGGCCUAACACAUGCAAGUCGAGCGGAAACGAGUUAUCUGAACCUUCGGGGAACGAUAACGGCGUCGAGCGGCGGACGGGUGAGUAAUGCCUAGGAAAUUGCCCUGAUGUGGGGGAUAACCAUUGGAAACGAUGGCUAAUACCGCAUGAUGCCUACGGGCCAAAGAGGGGGACCUUCGGGCCUCUCGCGUCAGGAUAUGCCUAGGUGGGAUUAGCUAGUUGGUGAGGUAAGGGCUCACCAAGGCGACGAUCCCUAGCUGGUCUGAGAGGAUGAUCAGCCGCACUGGAACUGAGACACGGUCCAGACUCCUACGGGAGGCAGCAGUGGGGAAUAUUGCACAAUGGGCGCAAGCCUGAUGCAGCCAUGCCGCGUGUAUGAAGAAGGCCUUCGGGUUGUAAAGUACUUUCAGUCGUGAGGAAGGCGGCGUCGUUAAUAGCGGCGUUGUUUGACGUUAGCGACAGAAGAAGCACCGGCUAACUCCGUGCCAGCAGCCGCGGUAAUACGGGGGGUGCGAGCGUUAAUCGGAAUUACUGGGCGUAAAGCGCAUGCAGGUGGUUUGUUAAGUCAGAUGUGAAAGCCCGGGGCUCAACCUCGGAAUAGCAUUUGAAACUGGCAGACUAGAGUACUGUAGAGGGGGGUAGAAUUUCAAGUGUAGCGGUGAAAUGCGUAGAGAUCUGAAGGAAUACCGGUGGCGAAGGCGGCCCCCUGGACAGAUACUGACACUCAGAUGCGAAAGCGUGGGGAGCAAACAGG